rfam:Rattus norvegicus chromosome 2, whole genome shotgun sequence.
GGGGAUUUAGCUCAGUGGUAGAGCACUUGCCUAGCAAGAGCAAGGUCCUGGGUUCAGUCCUCAGUCCUCA